rnacentral:rRNA from 1 species
ACGCUCGACACCUACGGGAGCAGCAGUGGGGAAUAUUGCACAAUGGGGGAAACCCUGAUGCAGCGACGCCGCGUGAGUGAAGAAGUAUUUCGGUAUGUAAAGCUCUAUCAGCAGGGAAGAAAAUGACGGUACCUGACUAAGAAGCCCCGGCUAACUACGUGCCACAGCCGCGGUAAUCUGAGCGGGCUGGCAAGGC